UGCCUUCUAUGAGAUUAAUAUUGGUUUUAUAACUAGGGUCACCAAUUUAAAAGGUUAAUAUGGGCUGAAUUUUUUUUGUUCUUUUAUUAAUUGAUUUAUUUUAAUUUCAUCAUUUAACAUUUAAUUUAUUUGAAAUUGGUCUUCCUACAUUUUCUUUUCUUUUCCUUUCUAUCAGGUUAACUUGAUCCUAUACUCAUGAUCACAUGAUUUCAUGAUUAUUUUUUUCUUUCUUUUAUUAAUUGAUUUAUUUGAUUGAACCCGAUUCAAUGAUUUUAUGAUUUUUAUAGUCUUAGGGUUUACAGGUUAAUCCAGAUUGACUCAUAUUUUUUUAUUGUUUUUUUAUUUUUAUUUUAUUUUUAUCCUUCCAUAUUAAGUUGUUUGAUAAUUGAGUUUCAUGAUUUUAUUCUAUUUGCUUUCGAACAUGGUCACCCUAGUAUUACAACUAUAUUAGAGAUUUUGCUUCUUGAUUCAAGUAGGCUUGGAUUGUUAUUUUUCAACCUUUUUAAAAAUAAAUUUCUUAAUUUUCAUCAUUCACUAUGAGAUUGAGUUCCACCCUUUUUUCUUUUAUUUUUUUAUUUUGUAUUUAUCAUUUUCUCAUUCGAUUCAUUAGGAAUUAGUCUUCGAAUUUUUUUCUGUGUUUUUUUUCUACAAGAUUAUUUAAAUCUUAUGUGCAUGGUCAUGAAGUUUGCAAGUUAACCAGGUUUAACUAAUUUUGUUAUGUUGUUUUUAUUUUUUAUUUUUUAAUUUUUCCUUUUAGCAUUGAGUUGUUUUAUAAUCUGGGUUAGGUCAGAUCAGUUUCUUUUUGCUUUUUUUUCCUUGUUAUUUGUUUUCUGUUUAUUUAUUGGUGCAGUAUUUUUUCUAUUUAUUUAUUAUUGUUGUAUUUUUUUAAUUAUAUUAUUUAAAUCAUUAAUUGAACUAAUAACAUGGAUCUUAGAUUUUUUUUCCUUUAACAUUCUUUUUUUUACAUUGAAAAAAGAUUUCCCCGGCCCGCAGCUGAGCCAGGCCACAAAUCUAUUAGAUAUCUUUAACAGAUGUGGAGGCAAGCCUUAAAAAGUUCCCUAUGAUUACAGCCAAGGGUGUGAUAUCUGAAAUUAUCUACCAUUAAGUCAUUGUAUCGAGCGUUUCUACAAGUUCACUGCUGCCAAAAUUAAUGUCUCUCCUUCCUGCAAAGAUGGCAUCACUUUCCAAGAGGGAGUAAGAAAUAUCUAUUGAUGGUGAUGAACCACCACCAGAAUACUUUUCUAAGGAACGCAUGCAGUUAUGCACGGACAGAUAUGUCCUCAGUGUCGACCACAAUUCCAGUUGUUGAUGUCCGUCUCUUCACAUCAUCUUCAUUUCUUGCUCCCAAAAGAAGAUACACUGGAGAAACUAAGAUCAAGUCUUGACUCGGCUGGAUGCUUUCAGGUUUUGAAGUUUAUGUGACACCACCUUCAAUUCCUCUACCAUUUUUAUGCGUAGCAGUCUGUUUAAUCACCCGAUGUUCAGUUAUUAUUAUCUCCAAGUAACAGAUUGGAACUUGGAAGUUGAGAUUGCAGGGUUUUUUUUUUUUUUUUGUCUUCCAUGUAUCUCUCCAAACUUAGAAAUGGACAUUAAAAUUCUUGAUGUAAGGUAAUAGGACACGGCAUGUCAGGUGCAUUCCUUGAAAGAGUGAGGAAAAUUGCACGUCAUUUUUAUCCACUUCCGAUUGAAGAGAAGCAAAAAUAUGCACUGCCAGUGAAUGAAGAUGAAGGGUAUGGGAUUGACAGGAUAAUUUCAGAAACACAAGUUCUCAACUGGUCCCAUCGCCUAGGUUCUCAUAAAUGACAAAUGGGCUAGAGUUCCCAUAGCUGCUGAUGCUCUCCUCGUCAAUCUUGGAGAUCAAAUGCAGAUAGUGAGUAAUGGAAUAUUCAAAAGCCCAGUGCACGGUGUGGUGACCAACUCGGAAAGAUUGAGGAUCUCUGCUGCCUUAUUCAACGAAACAGACCCAGAAAAAGAGAUUGGACCUGUGGAUUGCUUGGUGGAUGAGCAAAGACCAAGACUAUACAGAAAUGUUAAAAAUUACGCCCUCAUCUACUAUAAGAGGCACCAGAAAGGCAAGGUUGCAAUUGAGACGCUAAAAAUUUCUUAGUUUUGUCCUCUUUGUUGCUUCUUGUCCAGCUACUUGAUUUCGAAAGUUGGAGUUCAAGGUCAUCGUAGAGCCAUAGUUCCAUUUUGUGAUUUUGUAAUAAAUUACUUGUCAAAUUAACAACAUUUAAUUUGAUCGAGUUAAUAAAUUUUAUAAUUGAAUUAAGCAAUCCAAUAAAUUUCCUUACUAAUUAA